CAGUAGCCACGGGAAUACGUAGGGUGCAAGCGUUAAUCGGAAUUACUGGGCGUAAAGCGUGCGCAGGCGGUUUGUUAAGACAGAUGUGAAAUCCCCGGGCUCAACCUGGGAACUGCAUUUGUGACUGGCAAGCUAGAGUGUGGCAGAGGGGGGUGGAAUUCCGCGUGUAGCAGUGAAAUGCGUAGAUAUGCGGAGGAACACCGAUGGCGAAGGCAGCCCCCUGGGCCAACACUGACGCUCAUGCACGAAAGCGUGGGGAGCAAACAGGAUUAGAUACCCCCGUAGUCCCUGUCUCUUAUAC
rnacentral:rRNA from 1 species